rnacentral:tRNA from 1 species
GGCCAGGUAGCUCAGUUGGUAGAGCAGGGGACUGAAAAUCCCUGUGUCGGUGGUUCAAUUCCACCCCUGGCCACCA